rnacentral:lncRNA from 10 species
AGGUGGGAUUGAACAGCAGCCUCUUUUAGUGGGCUUUCUUUACAAAACCCAACGACUCUACCUCUCUGCUUGCUAAGCAUGUGAACUUAUCAUCUAAUGGGGAAUGCAAGACUCACUCUCCAGUAAACCUAGAAAACUUAGAUAACCUUGCUUCUCAUCUAAUGAGACAGAUAUAUUCUUCUCUCCAGAAGACAGGUGUAACAUGGAUUCCAUGCCACUGGGCAACUGUUCAACUGCCCUGAAGAAACGGUGUGGUAAACUUUUCCACUGUCAUGAAUAGUAGCAAGUGGCAGGAACAGGAUUUGAAUCCAGGUGAUAUGAUUCCAGCUCCAGUGUUCUCAUCCACUGCUUACUCCAGUUGUGUCUAGCAUAGAGAUGCCGGAGAGAAAUUACAGGGGUGUUGUCUCCAUGUCUUCUGUGAAGAGCACUCUCUUAGCCUAAUGCCUCCUCAGGGACCUCGAACUUUGAUCUCUGAACUGCGUCCUCCCAGGGCCCAGAGGGAAGAUCAAUCACUCAGGCAUCUCCCAGGACACCAGGUCAAGUGGCAGAAGUUCAUCCUCUGGGAUUCUUUGUCCUCUGUAACAUCGAUUGUCAACUUGGCAAAGCCAGCUUGACAAUACCAGAGUCUUUGUGUACAAUCCAUAGACAGCACUGGGAAGAGCAAACCAUGAGAGGCCAGCACUAAACCCUCAGGGUAGCUAAAGAGGAAGCAUGGUAAGACCUCAUUCUGCAGCAGAAAAAAACAAACAAUCUGCUCUACAUGUACCCAGCAUCAUGUGAACAUGAACCAGUUGAGUAUCGCCUGGGCCUCUGUUUGCUCAUCUGUAAAUGGGCUGGUUGCCCCUUCUUGCAAUGGACAAGCCUGCAUCCGCAGAGUUCGAGUCCUGUGUCUUGUGUCCUUGCCACAUCCUCCUCUGGGAGCACUCCGCAAAAGCUGUUAUUGUUAGCCCCCUUCUCUCAACCUCCCCAAUCAUUGCACACUCAUAGACAAAGGACAAUCUGAUCUUUAUGUGACCAAGAUAAAAUUUGAUGGGAGAUCAGCAAGACAUAAAGGAAGGUUCUUAAAUGACAUAUUUAUCCCAACAUUGUUCUGGGAAGAAAAGUAUCCAUUGUAAAAACUAAACAUGUCUGAUUAAAUGAUAAAUGCAGGAAGCUGACAGUGGAACAGUCACUAUGCCAAAGAUUCUCAGAUUAUCAAAGCCCUGUCAGGCCACUUCAGAAAAGGGGAUUCCCAAUAUGAGUUCACAAUACUUUGACAUCUGAAGAGGUCAGUUAGCCUAAGGCAAAGGAACUGCAAUGUGCCAGCCUAAAUGUUCUGCUUCUCACUCUCACAGAAAGAAGGAAAACUGGAAAAUGGGAAUCAGCAGUUGUGGAGAGCGCAGACUUUCCUAAGUAUUCUGGGGAUACUAGUAGGAGUUAGAGGAGAGAGUAUGUAUUUUGUAGCCAAAUAGAAGUCUUUUUGGGACAUGCUGGAUUAAGAACAUUGCUAGACUUUUGGUAUAUGACACAUGAUUUAUUCCUUAUCCCAACACUUCAAAUUUUAGGUCAACAUAUCUCUCUUUCUCUGUAGUGGGAGAUGAAUUCAAUGACUUACUCAAGGUCAUACAGUUAGUUAUGUCAGAACUUGAAUUUUAUCUCAAGUCAGCUUUAUUCCCAUACUGGCAGUUUUCUGUAUGAUUGUGUUCAUUAUACAAGAAAGGAGCAGGAAGUUCUUUGGAAGGAUAUUUUGAGAUUUAAAAAUAAAGCUUUCCAAUAAAGACUAUGGUCAUCAGAAUAAAACCUGCACAUGUAUGGGCAGUAUGCAGUUGAUCAUGUUCUCCACCUUCAAGUCUAUGCAAAAUCAACAUCCCAAGGACAGGCAUAAGCCACAUUCUCUUUCACUAGCUAGUACAGAGCCAGAGCAAUUGAUAAGAACCGUUGUCUUUGUUGAGCAUAGAGGUAUCAUUAGACUAAAGAAAUGUCAUUGGAAAUUCUUUCCAAUGUGGCCAGUCUCAGUCCAAGCCCUUUCCUAGCUGGGUAUAAGGAUUAGUCAGGUGGCAGAGCUACUCCUUUCUGAAGCCAGAAGGAGCAAGUCCAACAAGGUCUCGGGCCUUCGCAUCUGGAAGUGGGGUACCCAGGCUGAUUUUUUUGAAACAGGAAAAGUUGUGUCCUGUCGUUCCCUUUCCCUGGGAAACUUACCCAACUUUCCAGCCAAGCUCCUCACUCUCACAGUCUGUGCUGUAUCUCAAGUGUGCAUCCCUGGACACAAACCUAGUUCUGCACAUCUGCACUCUUAAAUGUUAAACUCAUACCCUGCUCCCUUAGAAUUACACCCCUCACACCAUCUCCACAGAAAAUGGUGUGUGCCAAGAAAUGGACUUAAACUUUUUCAUAACCAUCAGUCUUCUUUUGUUGUGAUUUUGGUCUUCCUGAACUUGAAGGCCUGAAAAUUCUCACUCCUCUUUCUGGCUUUGUGUUUCUCCUUUUCCACGGUUUGUGUAGCUGUUUUGCAACCCUCACCUGAAUGCAGCUGCUUUUGGGGAUUCUGAAACCACAAAUAAUCACUAUCUUUUCUCUGGACAUGACACCUCAGAACUAAUACAGUUGAAAGCUCUCAAAACAAAUUAUAAUAUUGAGACAGGGCUUCUCUGAAAACAGUUUGAGCCAUGUUCCUAUAAGUGUAUGUCUGUAUGUAAUCCAUUGUGUCUUCAAGCCUCUGGAAGACAAUGGCCUGCCACUCAGGAAAGAUGCCAAAAUGCAGAGGAUUUCUGCAAAUCCUUCCCUUCAGAGAGGGACCAAAGGCCCUAGGCUCUCAGGGAUGAGAGAAGGAAGGAAGCAGGACUUCUGGGAGGUACCAUUCCUGAGAGGUGGCUUGGCUGCAGGUCACAGAGGCCCCAGGGUCCUGUCUAUGAGUGGCUAGAGGGAGCAGCUCCCUGUCUCAGCCUUUGCACAGAAAAGGGGUGUAAAUGACAGUAGCAUUAGGUGACAGGGGGCAAAGUCAUCCUACAACUGCUUGUUAUUUGGAAAUUAGUGCUAUUUUCUAAUAUGGAGAAAUUACAGGUUGCUAAUGUGAUCCUGAUGGAAACAAAAUACAGUGGCUGAUCCCUUCUGUCAUUCAAACCCUGGUGUCAGUAGGGAAUCCCCAUGCUGAGGGUUAAAUUAUGAUGGUUUGAAAGGGGAAACUUUAAAGCAUAAAUAUCAGGUAUUUGUGUUUUACUUUGUGGAAAUUCUUGACCAUUUAGCUAUUUGGUAAUUGCUGUGCACAGCUGAGUAAAUAUACAGUGAGUUUCAAAUCAUUCAAUACUAAGAAAAUGGAACUUUCUCUCUCUGUCAAUAUAUAUAUGUAUAUGUGUGUCUUUGAGUGUGUAUGUGUGUGUGUGUAUGUAUAUAAUUUUGACAACAAGGUUUUCUGUACUUUUGAGCUAUAACUGGAGGUCAAAUGGAAUGUUGUGAAAUGUCAGAACUGCCAAAUAUUCUAUUUAAUUUAAAUUCAUAAAUGUUGGCCAAAGUGAUGUGAAAGAAGAAACUCAAUCUCUCUGAGCACUAGAUUACUGCCCCCAUACCCUGGCCCUUUCUUCCCUGAGAAGGUUAGUCAUCUCUGUAAAUAAAUACUGCCAUUUCCUUCCUUACUCCUUUCUACCAGCCAUCUCCAGGGCAGGGAUGUGGCUUGGCAGGGAAUAUGGGGGGAGAGUGACCCAGGACACACUGAAC